GACGAACGCUGGCGGCGUGCUUAACACAUGCAAGUCGAACGGAAAGGCCCUGCUUUUGUGGGGUGCUCGAGUGGCGAACGGGUGAGUAACACGUGAGUAACCUGCCCUUGACUUUGGGAUAACUUCAGGAAACUGGGGCUAAUACCGGAUAGGAGCUCCUGCUGCAUGGUGGGGGUUGGAAAGUUUCGGCGGUUGGGGAUGGACUCGCGGCUUAUCAGCUUGUUGGUGGGGUAGUGGCUUACCAAGGCUUUGACGGGUAGCCGGCCUGAGAGGGUGACCGGCCAAAUGGGGAGUGGAAACGGGCCAAGCACCCCAGGGGGGGCAGCGGGGGGAAAUAUUGCACAAUGGGGGGAAGCUGGAUGCAGCAACCCCGGGGGGGGGAUGCGGCCCUUCGGGUUGAAAACCGUUUUCGCCUGGGACGAAGGGUGAGUGACGGUAAUGGGAAAAGAAGCACCGGCUAACUACG
rnacentral:rRNA from 1 species